GGGGAAUUAGCUCAGUUGGGAGAGCGCAUGACUGGCAGUCAUGAGGUCAGGGGUUCAAAUCCCCUAUUCUCCA
rnacentral:tRNA from 1 species